UGCGUAGGCGGGCUUGUGCGUCAGGGGUUAAAUCCCACGGCAUAACCGUGGAGCUGCCUUUGAUACGGCAAGUCUUGAGUGUGAGAGAGGAUGGUAGAAUUCCUGGUGUAGCGGUGAAAUGCGUAGAUAUCAGGAGGAAUACCAGUGGCGAAGGCGGCCAUCUGGCUCACUACUGACGCUGAGGCACGAAAGCGUGGGGAGCGAACAGGAUUAGAUACCCUGGUAGUCC
rnacentral:rRNA from 1 species